rnacentral:lncRNA from 1 species
AUGCAGUUUAAAGCCAUCCCCUCCCUGCUCCCUCUCAUGCUCCGACACCCCAAAAUUGUGGCUCCCUGGGGUGUUCAGAGCUGGGUGAGGGCGGUAGCAGCGGGAGGGCACCCUGCUCCUUUCCCCCAUCCUCGGGGCCCUCUCCUUGUCCCGUUCCUCUCCUCACUCCCCUUUCCUCGCUCCCGCUUUCCCUUAUUUCCUCCCUGUUUCCCGUCGCAUUCCUGCCUUCUUCUGCCUUUCUUCUUCCACAUCCUCCCCGUCUCCCUCGCCUUGCCACCCCUCCCGCUUCUCCCACCUCCUUGUUCCCCCUCUUACCGCCCUCUCCCCCCUCCCUUCCCUUCCCCUCCGAAACACCCUCCGGCUCUCCGCACGUCGAAAUCAAAACUUUCAGGCUUUACCUCUUACGAACCGGGGCGACUUUUUUGUGUUUUUUUUUGUCCCGUCCUCUGGCCGAAAAGUUGGGAGACGCUCCCUGCGCGCCCCUCCAGCCGGCUGGGAGGGCAAGCGGCGGUGCGUCCCAGCGGGGAAAGGGAAGGGGAUGCGUGCCCCCCCUUUUCCCACGCCUGUCCCCCCCAAGGCUGGCUCCCCAAGGCUGCUCUUUGGGUGCCUGACGCCCCGGUGCCACGGGAGCGAGGGAGCGAAGCUGGCGGGGAGGGGACGCGGGAAGGAGGGGGCGGGCUGCGGCACCGCCGAGCCAAUCCUCGCCCCGGCACGGAGACCGGAGAAAAUGAGAUUUAUUCCAACUAUCCAGGACAGAAAACUUCAGGAACUUCUCUGCCUUCCCCCCCCCGGCUCCCCGCCCCACUUCCCCAGUGCCAUUUCCCUUCCUCCGGCGCUGGGCUGCCUCCUGCUUGCCCCGCUCUCUUUCUUCAGCGAAUUUGGGGGAAGGGGAAAAGCCAGGUCUCUGCUAAGCUUGUUGGGAAAACCGGGCAGAAGGAAAGGACUUUGCGUGAUGUGUGUGAAAGCCCUGGUAAUAACACGGGGUUGUCCCAGCCUGUGUCGGAUGGGAAGCCCCCAGCGCCCACGGUACAGCGCUGCCGACUCGAAUGGGGAGAGGGACCCCAAGCCUGGGGGUGCACAGUCACGCCAGGACCCAUGGGUGGUGUAGGGUGA